rnacentral:rRNA from 1 species
CCCUUAGAUGUUCUGGGCCGCACGCGCGCUACACUGAUGCAUUCAACGAGUUUCUUCCUGGUCCGAGAGGAAUGGGUAACCUUUUGAAAGUGCAUCGUGAUAGGGAUAGACUAUUGCAAUUAUUGGUCUUCAACGAGGAAUUCCUAGUAGACGUAGUUCAUCAGACUGCAUCGAUUACGUCCCUGCCCUUUGUACACACCGCCCGUCGCCCCUACCGAUUGAAUGCUCAGGUGAGCCAUUCGGACUUUCAUCAUGCUGGUUUCCAGUUUUGAUGAAGGAAAGUCUUGCGAACCUUAUCAUUUAGAGGAAGGAGAAGUCGUAACA